GAAAAGCUCGUGCAUAGGCCAUUGGCCCAGCAUUAACCUGUUGGGGAGAGGACAGGUGGCUGAGGAUGACCCUGUCUCCUCUGUAGAGCCUGGUCCAUAACCAGUUGAUCAGCUACUAAAGGAUACAUCUGAACUCCAUCCUUCAAGGCCAUUCUUCCCAAACUGUUGGCUGAGAUUCUGGCCCAAGGAGGCGUGUAUCAGAUUUGUCAAAUGAAUGCACAACGCCAGGUCCUAUCGAUGCUCGCACACGAGAAGGCUCACCCUAGUCAAGGGGUCCAUGUUCUUUAUAGGCCUUUACUGUGACCAUGGGACUUGGAAGGAAAAAGCUAAAGAAGAAGGAAGCUAAUACUGCAGCUGAACUGUCUUCAGGUAGCUAUGCCCGCCAGGUAUUGCCAGCAUGAAAGAACGAAUAAAUGAUAUUGGAUGCUUUCCUUUGCUUCAUUAGAUCCAGUCUGCACUCCCCCUUACACAACUAUGUGCUAGGGAAGCUGUCCCAUUUGGAGUAUAACAAUGGUUCUCUUGCCUUCUGGCUUCUACAAAUUUCUUACGAUAAUUGUUUUGAGUGGGUCAUGGGGACACUGACAAGAGGUAGGUGGGGCCGAGGGGAGCCAGCUCAGUAUCAGCAUCAAGAUUGCUGAUUUUUCCUUUUGCCUCAAGCUCCAAAAUAGCUCCUCGUGGCUCUGUUACUGGCCUACCUUUAUUUAACAUGUUAAUUCUUUGUUCAUUAUGAGUUUUUGGAGUUAUUUCUGAUGUUAAAAAGUACGGCAUUAAAUAUUAUCUGAUCUUGAUUACUGAGUUUUUUGAUGCUCCCUUGAAUUUUGUGCCCAGGGUGAGUACCUGACUCGCCUCACCCUAGUUUCAGCCCUGUUAGGGUAUUUAGCCCCAGGGCUUCCUCCUUGCAGUCCUUUUACAGAGGCCACUUUGUCCUUGGUCUGGGUCUAUCUGUCUGUCUGUCGUCCUAGCUCUCUCCCUGCUUCCAUUAGCUUUUCCCUCCCUGAGCAUCAGGUCUACAGAGGGUGAGAGCCUCUCAGUGUAGCUACAUCCUGUACCUGCCUAUGUUGUUUUCCCUAAAUAUUGCUGAUGCUUUUACAAAUAGCCUAUUUAUUACACUGCCCUUAAUCAUCCACUGUGAGCAGGCCGUCUACUUCCUAUCAGGACCCUGACAGUCAGAUAAAUAAUGGUGCAUGCUUUAUGAGCUAAUAUACAUUUAAAAAUAGUUUUUGAACAGGUUUAUAAGGCUCUUAAUGAGAGAGCCAUGUUUGCUCAUUCAUUCAUUCAUUCAUUCAUUCAUUCAUUCAUUCAUUCAUUCAUAUGUUAGGAUAUAGAAUGUAGAACACAGCUUAUCCAGGUGGGAAAGGAGGGCAGAGGAAGAAAUUUCAUUUCAGCUAAACUUAAGAAAGGCUUAUCUCCAGGUAUCUGGCACCAUCAACAUGCAUUUACAACAAGACAAAAUUGUAAGACUCUGUAAGUGUGUUGGUACCACAAACAGAACACAUGUCUCUUAAACCUUUAAUAAAAAAAUUUCAAGGGCAUUUAUUUAUGCCAGGCUCCACUGACCACGUGCAUCUCAGCUC